UACGUAGGGGGCAAGCGUUAUCCGGAUUUACUGGGUGUAAAGGGAGCGUAGACGGAUGGACAAGUCUGAUGUGAAAGGCCGGGGCUCAACCCCGGGACUGCAUUGGAAACUGCCCGUCUUGAGUGCCGGAGAGGUAAGCGGAAUUCCUAGUGUAGCGGUGAAAUGCGUAGAUAUUAGGAGGAACACCAGUGGCGAAGGCGGCUUACUGGACGGUAACUGACGUUGAGGCUCGAAAGCGUGGGGAGCAAACAGG
rnacentral:rRNA from 1 species